UAGGAUUUGGUUUAGGAUUAAGAUUAGAUUUUUGGGUUGAUUUAAGAUUUGAUUAGGAUUUGGUUUAGAAUUAGAAUUAGGAUUUUGGAUUGAUUUAAGAUUUGAUUAGGGUUAGGAUUUUGUUAGGGAUAAGAUUAAGAUUUUGGAUUUGAUUUAAGGUUUGAUUAGAAUUAGGAUUUGAUUUAGGUUAGGAUUUGGUUAAGAUUUGUCUAAGAUUUGACUAGGAUUUAUUUAGAAAUUGAUUAAGAUUUCUUCAAAAUUUGAUUAAAAUUUAAUUAGGAUUUGACUAGAAUUUGAUUAAGAUUUGAUUAAGGUUUGUUUAAAAUUUGAUUAAUAUUUAUUUAGAUUUUGAUUAGAAUUUGAUUAAGAAUUUAUUAAAAUUUGAUUAGAGCUUAUUUAGGAUUUUUUAGGAUUUGACUAGGAUUUAUUUAGGAUUUGAUUAAGAUUUAUUUAGGAUUUGAUUAGGAUUUGAAUAGGAUUUGAUUAGAACUUAUUUAGAAUUUAUCAGGGAUUUGAGUAAGAUUUAUUUAGGAUUUAAUUAGAACUUAUCUAAGAUAUGAUUAGGGCUUAUUUAAGAA
rnacentral:lncRNA from 1 species